UUGACCUCAAAUCAGGUAGGAGUACC
rnacentral:ncRNA from 6 species